GAUUAACGCUGGCGGCGUGCAUAACACAUGCAAGUCGAACGAUGAAACUUAAAUGAUCUCUUCGGAGUGAAUUUAAGUGGAUUAGUGGCGGACGGGUGAGUAACGCGUGAGUAACCUGCCUUAGAGAAGGGGAUAGCCUUUGGAAACGAAGAAUAAUACCCUAUGAAACCAUAACCUCGCAUGAGGCCUUGGUCAAAGAUUUAUCGCUCUAAGAUGGACUUGCGUCUGAUUAGUUAGUUGGUGGGGUAACGGCCCACCAAGACAGCGAUCAGUAGCCGGCUUGAGAGAGUGUACGGCCACAUUGGGACUGAGACACGGCCCAGGCUCCUACGGGAGGCAGCAGUGGGGAAUUUUGCACAAUGGGGGAAACCCUGAUGCAGCGACGCCGCGUGAUUUAGAAGGCCUUCGGGUUGUAAAAAUCUUUUCUAUGGGAAGAAAAUGACAGUACCAUAGGAAUAAGGACCGGCUAAUUACGUGCCAGCAGCCGCGGUAAUACGUAAGGUCCGAGCGUUGUCCGGAAUCAUUGGGCGUAAAGGGUACGUAGGCGGGUAAGCAAGUUAGAAGUGAAAUCCUAUAGCUCAACUAUAGUAAGCUUUUAAAACUGCUCAUCUUGAGGUAUGGAUGGGAAAGUGGAAUUCCUAGUGUAGCGGUGAAAUGCGCAGAUAUUAGGAGGAAUACCGGUGGCGAAGGCGACUUUCUGGCCAUAACCUGACGCUGAGGUACGAAAGCGUGGGUAGCAAACAGG
rnacentral:rRNA from 1 species